AUGGCGACGACGCCGGCGCGGCCAUCGCAGAGUGGCGGCGGCGAGGCGGUGUCGGUGCAGCACGUGGCCAAGGCCUCCUCGGACGAGCUGCUCCGCAAGUUCGCCGACCCGGACGACGACGACGCCAAGCAGCGCCAGCUCACCCCGCCCCGCCGCAGCCUCGCGCUGCGCCGCAAGCGCUCGUCCCGGCGCGUCGCGUCGGGGCUCUCCGCCAGGGACUCCGGUACGGCGUCCGGGGCGGGGCUGGAGCUGGCCGCGCCCAAGCGCCGGCGCAGCAUCGGCGGGUCCACGGACUGGAGGGCCGGGCUGCUGCUGCCCACCACCACGGCCUCCUCCUCCUCCUCCGCGCGGAAGACGGGCGGCCCUGCGCGUGCGAAGCGGGGCGCGCGGCUCGACGAGGCCGGCGUCGCGCACUUCCUCGCCGCGCUGGAGCGGACGUGGAAGAAGACGGUGGCGGGCGCGUCGAGGAUGUUCGUGGAGCGGCACCGGAGCAGCCACGUGCAGCUCAUCAGCGACAUGGUGUAG
rnacentral:rRNA from 1 species